CCUGGGUCCACAAAUCAUUGCAUUGUUACAUUAGGGUACAAUAAAAUACAGAAAAUAUUAUUACACAAUAUAUACAAAAUUUAACAUAGAACAAGUAGGAAAUAUAUAAUCAACCAUACCAGGUGCAUUCUGUUUUGAGGUAUGUAGAGAGGGAUCUCUUAAAGGGCUUUAGGCUUAGGGAAGAUUUUAAAUUGUGCGGGAGGUCGUUCCACAAUUGCGGCGCUCUGUAGGAGGAGGAUCAGGCUGCCUUCUUUUUGUAUUGUAAGAUAAUGUGCAAGAUAGCAAAGUCAAAAUAAUAAAAAGGCUAAAGUAUAUAUAUCUUUUUCCACAGACUGAGCUCUUAUGAUCCUUGGCUCAUUUUCCCACGUUUUAAUUUACAAACAAGAAGGCCUACAUACGCAACGAGCAUUUGAAGAAGCACCCAUAUGUUGUGUAAGUUUCAUUAUCAAAAAUGUGAGCUGCCAGUGCUGUCGGAAAAUACCGAGCAAGGCAGCCGCAUGUUAAGUAAAAGAGAAUCCCCAAAAAUGACGCUAAGCAGGAGUGAUUUGUGUCGUAUUUUAAAAUGUUCUAACGAAGUGCUACUCUUCAACAGCUAUACUUGUGUGAUUGCAGAG